ACAUAUCCCAAGGACAUUUCCUCGUCAAGUCCUUGAACCUCUCCCAAGCCUCAUAAAGUGUUUCACCAUCUUAUUGUCUGAAAAUUUGCACCUCAGUUCUCAAUCU